rnacentral:sRNA from 1 species
CCAUUGAGAAGAGAGAAGAACAUUCUCGAAUACCUAGAAUGGGCUAAACCAUUUACUUCUAAAGUGAAACAAAUGCGAUUACAUAGAGAAGACUUUGAAAUAUUAAAGGUGAUUGGUCGAGGAGCUUUUGGGGAGGUUGCUGUAGUAAAACUAAAAAAUGCAGAUAAAGUGUUUGCCAUGAAAAUAUUGAAUAAAUGGGAAAUGCUGAAAAGAGCUGAGACAGCAUGUUUUCGUGAAGAAAGGGAUGUAUUAGUGAAUGGAGACAAUAAAUGGAUUACAACCUUGCACUAUGCUUUCCAGGAUGACAAUAACUUAUACCUGGUUAUGGAUUAUUAUGUUGGUGGGGAUUUGCUUACUCUACUCAGCAAAUUUGAAGAUAGAUUGCCUGAAGAUAUGGCUAGAUUUUACUUGGCUGAGAUGGUGAUAGCAAUUGACUCAGUUCAUCAGCUACAUUAUGUACACAGGUAAAACAGUCCUUCAUUGUACCUGGCUGUGAGUUACCAUGUAAUAUCUAGCAACAGAGGCCCAUUUCUUGCCAGAUUUAUUAAUUAUGGUCUUGGAUACAUUUAUCGUCAACCAAAAAAAUUUAUUUUGAGAUG